rnacentral:rRNA from 1 species
GACAUAGGUGGCAAGCGUUAUUCGGAAUUACUAGGCGUAAAGCGAGUGUAGGCGGGCGCUUAAGUCCGACGUUAAAUCUCCAGGCUUAACUUGGAGCUGUCGUUGGAUACUGGGCGUCUCGAGAGGGGUAGGGGGCAGUGGAAUUCCCGGUGUAGCGGUGAAAUGCGUAGAUAUCUGGAGGAACACCCGUGGCGAAGGCGGCUCUCUGGUCCGAAACUGACGCUGAGGUGCGAAAGCUAGGGUAGCAAACAGGAUUAGAAACCCUGGUAGU